GGAAUUUUGCGCAAUGGGGGCAACCCUGACGCAGCAACGCCGCGUGCGGGACGACGGCCUUCGGGUUGUAAACCGCUUUCAGCAGGGAAGAACCUCUGACGGUACCUGCAGAAGAAGCCCCGGCUAACUACGUGCCAGCAGCCGCGGUAAUACGUAGGGGGCGAGCGUUAUCCGGAAUGAUUGGGCGUAAAGCGCGCGCAGGCGGCCGCUCAAGCGGGACCUCUAACCCCGGGGCUCAACCCCGGGCCGGGUCCCGAACUGGGCGGCUCGAGUGCGGUAGGGGAGAGCGGAAUUCCAAGUGUAGCGGUGAAAUGCGCAGAUAUUUGGAAGAACACCGAUGGCGAAGGCAGCUCUCUGGGCCGUCACUGACGCUGAGGCGCGAAAGCCGGGGGAGCGAACAGGAUUAGAUACCCUGGUAGUCCCGGCCGUAAACGAUGGGCGCUAGGUGUGGGGGGACAUUCCCUCCGUGCCGCAGCCAACGCAUUAAGCGCCCCGCCUGGGGAGUACGGCGGCAACGCUAAAACUCAAAGGAAUUGACGGGGGCCCGCACAAGCAGCGGAGCAUGUGGCUUAAUUCGAAGCAACGCGAAGAACCUUACCAGGGCUUGACAUCCGGGUGAAGCGGCGGAGACGCCGUGGCCGAGAGGAGUCCGGACAGGUGGUGCAUGGCUGUCGUCAGCUCGUGCCGUGAGGUGUUGGGUUAAGUCCCGCAACGAGCGCAACCCCCGUCGCGUGUUGCCAGCAAUUCGGUUGGGCACUCGCGCGAGACUGCCGGCGUCAAGCCGGAGGAAGGUGGGGACGACGUCAAGUCAUCAUGCCCCUUAUGCCCUGGGCUGCACACGUGCUACAAUGGCCGGCACAACGGGUUGCGACCCCGCGAGGGGGAGCGGAUCCCUCAAAGCCGGCCCCAGUUCGGACCGCAGGCUGCAACCCGCCUGCGCGAAGCCGGAGUUGCUAGUAAUCGCGGAUCAGCACGCCGCGGUGAAUACGUUCCCG
rnacentral:rRNA from 1 species